rnacentral:lncRNA from 1 species
ACCCUUUGUGUAUUGACUCUUCAUUUUUGGUAUUUCAGCCUGAUACUUGGUCUAACAUUGACAUCUUUCUAGUAGUAAUCAGCCUAGUAACUAUAUAUUUCAUCCUGUUGUCCAAGUACUUUGACCUACUAAUCAAGCAUAACUUAGCCUACUAGCCAUAUAUUCGACCCACUGAUCGAGUAAUUUCACCUACUGAUUAUGUUCUCAGUCUAUUUCUUGGUAUUUGAUUGAAGAUUGAAAUCCUUCCAAAACUUCUAAUUGGGCCUCCAAAAGAUAUCCCUUUUGAAGAUCUACUUUCACCUAGUUCAUGCUAGAUGGCCUUUUGAGGCUUGUUAUUAAUCAGUCUUUGUAUCAUAAUCAUUGGUAUGAAUGUGUUGUAAACAAUGUCCCAUAUCCCAUUAGCCAAUGAUUAGGAAGGUGAUCGGAUGUACCUAGCACCACAUCCAUCGACUUAUUACUUGGUAGUCAACCAUCUUAACCAAUUUGAGGGAAAAAGCUAAUCGGGAUCAUCAAUCACUUGCUUCACUUACUAGGAGAUUGAUAGAGACACCUCAUUGAAAAGGUAAACUUGAGUGGCACACAUAGACCAUGGACUAUCUAGUGGAGGAA